CAAGCACUGCCACCGUGAUGGAAGAUGCUCGAAGUGGCCGCUGCCACCAAAGACCAAUCCUACCUCCUCCAACGCUUCCUCCACAUGUGUUCUGCUUGCUGUACAGGUGCACAAGAGAUACGCCGUCCACAGGCUGGCUUACAAGGAUGACAAGCACAACGAGCACCGGGAGAGGAAGAGGGGGUUCCUAUGUUGUGUUUUGCAUCGCCUCCACCAACCCCCUGCGCUUCUUCUUCCACUCCGGCAUAGAGCACAACUUCAGCAUCCCUACAGAUGUGAAGAUGCCCAUCUCCAAUGGUUUCUACCGCCAUAUCUACAACCCCGACUAGAUUUAUCAAUGUAUGGGAUCUCUCCUUAUCCAGCGGUCAGUCCGACGUCUGGCAUAUGUAAGCCACAUUUUCC
rnacentral:rRNA from 1 species